AAUAGCUGAUUAAGAAGAAAAAAAGGGGGGAUAAAAAAGAAAAACAAAAGGAGGAGAGACCCAAGGGAGAGAGACCGUUGAGAGCAUCCCGUGUGGCCGUACAUACACGUGUGGAAAUUUCCGGCACCGCGUCGCCGAGCCUGCGCUUUAAAUUCCUUCCCCUCUCUCCUCUUCCUCUCCUCAACCCCAACUAAGGAGAGGGAGGAAAGGGUCUGGUUCGCGCUCUCUCGGGACUCGAUUCCGCAGCUACGCCUACGCCCUCUCGCCUCGGAUUCCCAUCAUUUAUCGGCCCCUGUCCCCGGAGAAAUCCUACCCGUCUUCUCCGGCAAUCUCUUCUCGCACCCGUAAGAGCUCCUUUCUCUCGGAUUCAUGCCCCAUUUUUAGGUUUUCUUGACCUUAUUUAGCAAAUUAAUUUUCAGAUUAGAUCUCAUGUUGCCGUGAUUCUUCUGCUGCUUUUGAGUCUUUUUGUUCUUAGAUCUUCGGAUAAUUCGGUAGAAAAUAGUAAUUUUAACCUGGCUGCUUGGAUUCUCGCCUCCAUCUCCUUUAGAUCCGGCGAGGGGAGGAGGAAAUAAAGGUUUUGUAGCGUUCGAUCUCUUUUUGCGAGGUUUCUUG
rnacentral:lncRNA from 1 species